AAAGAAGGAGCCCACUCCCGCCGGCCCGAGCCAGGUUCCCUUUUCCAGCGCAGGCAGCAAGAGUGUCCACCCGCCAUGGGGACUCUGGGCAGGAUAUCAUCGUAUACUGUAAGUUUGCUAUGAGACACUACAGUAUAGAUGAUGUACUAUCCUGAGCUUCACCCCUCAGCCAGGAGCUCUACUGGUCCAGCGUACGGGAGAACGCCUGGCCAGCUGGGAGCAGUGGCCCAAAGCGCUUCUAGCACAGCACAAGUUCCUCCCCCUCCCACAGAAGGGUGGAGGGCUAAGCACUGUGGGGGGGCUAAAGCCUCCCAUGAAGGCCUGGCCCUGCCUGUGGCAGCCUCACCCCUUCAGCCUCUUCCUGCAUUCAGGGUGCUCCUUUUCCCUGGGUUUCCAGUGUGGGAGGGAAACAAGCGCUACCUUCGCUGCUGCUCUGGAACACCUGCAUGAACAGGCUGCAAGUGGGGAGGCAGCCAAUGGGAAAGAAAGGGUUAACAACCAUUCCUCCCGCCAGGCUGGGAGGCACUGCCCUGCUAAGCCAUGGGGGGUGGGAGAGGGAAGAUUCUACUGCCGCAUGGGCAAGAAGCCACUUUCAGAGCUGGCGAAGGCACCUACCAAGAAGCUGAGCCCAUGGGGCGUCAAUGAAACCGUUACCAUUACUGACUUUAGUAAUGGUAACGGUUCUACUGCCACCCCAGCAUCCGGCCAGCGAGAACAAGAGGAGCAGCACCCCAUUGCCGGGGGGAGCAGCACCCCUCCAGGGUGCCAGCCUCUAUGGGAGGCCAGCAAUGAGACCCUCCCCCCAUGUCCUCUCCAAGCUGUAGGGGGGAGAGCUUGGGGUGCCCUGCCUGGGGGUCACAUUCCCUUGGGGCAGACCCCCUCUCCCUAGUCCCUCUGCCAAUCAAUGAGAAAUAAAGGUGUUUUCUUUGA